GGCUUCGGUCUGGUGAGAGUGGCGAACGGGUGAGUAACGCGUGGGAACCUGCCCAGAGGUACGGAAUAACAGUUGGAAACGACUGCUAAUACCGUAUGAGCCCGAGAGGGGAAAGAUUUAUCGCCUUUGGAGGGGCCCGCGUCAGAUUAGGUAGUUGGUGGGGUAACGGCCUACCAAGCCGACGAUCUGUAGCUGGUCUUAGAGGAUGAUCAGCCACACUGGGACUGAGAUACGGCCCAGACUCCUACGGGAGGCAGCAGUGGGGAAUAUUGGACAAUGGGGGCAACCCUGAUCCAGCAAUGCCGCGUGAGUGAUGAAGGCCUUCGGGUUGUAAAGCUCUUUUGCCAGGGACGAUGAUGACGGUACCUGGAGAAUAAGCCCCGGCUAACUUCGUGCCAGCAGCCGCGGUAAUACGAAGGGGGCUAGCGUUGUUCGGAAUUACUGGGCGUAAAGGGCGCGUAGGCGGUCUGAUUAGUCAGAUGUGAAAUUCCCGGGCUUAACCUGGGCGCUGCAUUUGAUACUGUCAGGCUUGAAUUCAGGAGAGGAUAGCGGAAUUCCCAGUGUAGAGGUGAAAUUCGUAGAUAUUGGGAAGAACACCGGUGGCGAAGGCGGCUAUCUGGACUGACAUGACGCUGA
rnacentral:rRNA from 1 species